rnacentral:lncRNA from 1 species
GGCACACAACCCAAGGCUGGCGCUUCCACUGUUGGCGUUCCACCACCCCAUCACAGCAGCAUCCCCCAGUCCCAAACCUCCCCCUUGUUAACGAGGGUAUCAGGGAGCAGGGACAUUCCUGGAGGCUCCAAAGGGAGAGGGAAGAGAGGCAGCAAGGGAGCAAAGCGAGCACAGCUGGGACCCCGGGCUAACCCGAGGGCGGCUGUAUGGGGACAGACGGAACGGGGAAAGCACGGAGCCCCGCGGGCCCGGCCCCGGGCGCGGCUUACCGGGGAAGUCGCAGCGGUAGGGCCGCUCGGGCUCCAGGUGGCUGCGGCGGCGGUGGGCGGCGAGGCGGGCGGCGCUGGGGAAGCGCUGCCCGCACGCCUCGCACUUGUGCGCCGCCUCCUGCUCGUGGGCGCGGCUGUGAGCCCGCAGGUUGUAGACGGUGGUGAAGCGCUUGGAGCAGCCGGGCGCGGCGCAGGCGAAGGGCCGCAGUUUGUCGUGCGAGUGCAGGUGCCGCCGCAGCUUGUAGGCCGUGGCGAAGGACCAGGCGCAGCCCGGCACCGGGCAGCCGAACGGCCGCGCCGCCCCCCCCGCCGCCGGCGCCCCACGGCCGUCCUCCCCUCCGCCUCCGUGCGCCGUGAGGCGGUGCAGCCGCAGCUGCUGCUUGCGGGGGAAGGCCUCCCCGCAGCGCGGCUCAGGGCAGGGGAAGGCCGGCGGGGAGCGCGGCCGCGGGACGCCCGGCGGGGGCUCGGCGGGGCCAGCGGAGGCGGCGGGCGGAGGCGGCGGGGCCGGGGGCGGCGCGGUGCUCGCGGCCUGCUCGGCGCCGGGCCCCAGCGUCAGCACGCCGUUCUCGAUGCGCACCACCAGGCUCUGGUUGUUGAUGGUGAUGGUCCCCGAGAAGGAGCCGUCCUCCGCGCCGCCGUCCCCAUCGCCGUCGCGGGGCGGCGGGGGAGGAGGAGGCGGAGGAGGCGGCGGCGGCGGCGCGGAGCCGGGGCCUUCCUCGGGCGGCUCCGCGGGCGGAGGGCCGGGCUGGGCGCGCCCCGCUUCCCCGUCGCCCGAGCCGGGCUCGGCGUUGCCGCGCACCACGUUGAGGACGAGCAGCAGCCCGUCGCUGUCGGGCGCGGGGCCCGCCGGCGGAGCGCUGGGGCUGGGAGCCGGGCCGGCGCCGGGCUCCGGCUUCUCCUCCACCAGCAGCACCGGGAAGCUCACGUAGAGGCCCGACGCGGCGCUGCUGGCGGCGGAGGAGGAGGCGGCGGUGGAGGCCGCCGGGUCCCAGUCGGGCGGAGGCGGGGGGCGGCCCGGGGCGGCGGGCGGCGCGGCGGGGCCGCCAUGUUGGGCGCCGGGCCGGGCCCGGGCCGCCUCCGCGGCGGGCAGCCCCUGCGUUUCCAUCUUGGGGGUCCCUGUAGCAGCGGCUGA